ACGCACGCUGGCGGCAUGCCUCACCCCUGCCAGUCGCACGCGACCUUCGGGUCUAGUGGCGCACGGGUGCGUCACGCGUGGGAACCUGCCCUUAGGUUCGGAAUAACUCCCCGAAAGGGGUGCUAAUACCGGAUAAUGUCUUCGGACCAAAGAUUUAUCGCCUUUGGAUGGGCCCGCGUUGGAUUAGCUAGUUGGUAGGGUAAAAGCCUACCAAGGCGACGAUCCAUAGCUGGUCUGAGAGGAUGAUCAGCCACACUGGGACUGAGACACGGCCCAGACUCCUACGGGAGGCAGCAGUGGGGAAUAUUGGACAAUGGGCGAAAGCCUGAUCCAGCAAUGCCGCGUGAGUGAUGAAGGCCUUAGGGUUGUAAAGCUCUUUUACCCGGGAUGAUAAUGACAGUACCGGGAGAAUAAGCUCCGGCUAACUCCGUG
rnacentral:rRNA from 1 species